CCUCAAAUUCCCUAAUUUUUGGACUCUCUCUUUCUCACAGCCGACCUCCCUCUUCUCUCUUCUUCAUCUCUUUCUUCCUACCAAAAACCACCAUUGAGGCACUCCCUCACCACACAGAACCACCAACAAAGACCAAGAUCAACAGCGCCGGCGAGGUCAUCUUCCUCACGUCGUCUAACACCACCUUCAUCGUGUCAGUUUUUCGAUCUGAGCUCCGAUUGUCAUGUUACCGGAGCUUCACGUUAGCAGCAGCAACAAUGGAGCGGGCGACCUCCACGGUCUAGCAUCCCGCCUCCACAGUCGCGCCGCUGCUACUUCUCCUUCGAACAACACCACCAAACGACCCCUGACGCCCUGCUCUCAUCUCUCUCUCCACAGAAAACAACAAAACCAAACAACGACGACACCACAACUGUCCAGGCCUGACCAACGAGACUAUUGAGGCCGAGUUUGUUUUGUCAAAAACCGAUAUUGUUCGGAUACUUGUAAGUUGAGGAUGUUUAAUUUGGAGCAACUAAAGAGAAGAGCUGCCUUUGUCCUUAUUGAUGGUGUGGGUGAUGUCUCUCUGUCAAGAUUUGUUUAUAAAAUUCCACUUCAAUUGGCCAAAUAUCAGAUCAUUCUUGCUAAAGACGGAUCUUACAGAUCUGUCCAGAGUUUGGACUUCAAAGUUCAAGACAUGAAGAGCUCAUUUGGAACAGGAUUCGGAUAGUUUUAGUUCUUGUUUUAUUAUUUCUAUUUGUCUAUUAUUCUUUCUUAAUUAUUUUUGGCUUGUAAUAAUAAAUUUUGUAUAUAAUAAAAAGGAGAAAAUACACGGA